UGGAGAAGCCUUAUUCUUUACCUCUGCUAUC
rnacentral:piRNA from 1 species